CGAAGUAAAAGUCGUAACAAGGUUUCCGUAGGUGAACCUGCGGAAGGAUCAUUAUUGUAUAACCGAGGUGCGAGGGCUGUCGCUGACCCGAAAGGUCGUGCACGCCCGAGUGCCCUCACACACAUCCAUCUCACCCCUAUGUGCACCACCGCGUGGGUCCCCCUUUGGCUUGUUCGGAGGGGGGCUUACGUUUUCACACAAACUUUGUAUGCAGUGUAGAAUGUAUUUUUUGUUUUUGCGAUCACGCAAUCAAUACAACUUUCAACAACGGAUCUUUUGGCUCUC
rnacentral:misc_RNA from 1 species